rnacentral:rRNA from 1 species
UACGUAGGGUCCGAGCGUUGUUCGGAAUUACUGGGCGUAAAGGGCUCGUAGGUGGCCAACUAAGUCAGACGUGAAAUCCCUCGGCUUAACCGGGGAACUGCGUCUGAUACUGGAUGGCUUGAGAUUGGGAGAGGGAUGCGGAAUUCCAGGUGUAGCGGUGAAAUGCGUAGAUAUCUGGAGGAACACCGGUGGCGAAGGCGGCAUCCUGGACCAACACUGACACUGAGGAGCGAAAGCCAGGGGAGCAAACGGG